rnacentral:lncRNA from 1 species
AUCCAAUCCCUAUUGCUCAAUCAAAUUGAGCAAAUAACAAUCAUAUUGUUAAUCAAUUAUUCCUUUAAUUUACUAAUCAUUAAUAAAUAAUUUAUUAUAAUCUUUGUAUAGGAUUAAUCAUCAAUCACAUUAAUAAUUACAUCCUUCAAUGAUUCAUAAUCGUUGAUCUACCAUUUGAUCAGAUAGGUACUUCUAUGUGUGUGGCCCCAUAGGUUCGAACCUAAGUCAGUAGCACAAAAAUAAUUUUUAUACCAAUCGAUGUAACCAUCUAGUAAUGACAUCCAACGUUCAGAUAGAUCGAAUGUAUGUUCAGCAACACUCUAGAACCCAUGUGGAUAUAGUUACCAUAUAAUUCAUUCCUCUGACACUUGAUGCUCAAAGAUGACUUAAAAUUAACUAUCAAAUCCAGAUGAGUAAUCCACAUUGUGUUUCAACCUCAAAAAUUCUGUGACUCCUCACUAGAACUACUCUGACUAGAGUUUUACUGAAUUAAAAUAGAGUUUAGCAUCAUCUCCAAUUUUACUUGGAAUGGUCAAUCCCA